ACCCGCUGAACUUAAGCAUAUCAAUAAGCGGAGGAAAAGAAACCAACAGGGAUUGCCCCAGUAACGGCGAGUGAAGCGGCAAGAGCUCAAAUUUGAAAGCUGGCCCCCUCGGAGUCCGCAUUGUAAUUUGCAGAGGAUGCUUCGGGAGUGGCCCCCAUCUAAGUGCUCUGGAACGGGCCGUCAUAGAGGGUGAGAAUCCUGUAUGGGAUGGGGUGUGUGAGACCAUGUGAAGCUCCUUCAACGAGUCGAGUUGUUUGGGAAUGCAGCUCUAAAUGGGUGGUAAAUUUCAUCUAAAGCUAAAUAUUGGCCGGAGACCGAUAGCGCACAAGUAGAGUGAUCGAAAGAUGAAAAGCACUUUGAAAAGAGAGUUAAAAAGCACGUGAAAUUGUUGAAAGGGAAGCGCUUGCGACCAGACUGGCCUGCGGGGUUCAGCCGGUAUUCGUACCGGUGUACUUCCCCGUGGGCGGGCCAGCGUCGGUUUGGGCGGCCGGUCAAAGGCCCUCGGAAUGUAACGCCUCUCGGGGCGUCUUAUAGCCGAGGGUGCCAUGCGGCCAGCCCGGACCGAGGAACGCGCUUCGGCACGGACGCUGGCAUAAUGGUCGUAAGCGACCCGUCUUGAAACACGG
rnacentral:rRNA from 1 species